CAGACACAGUGCUUACUCAGUAGCUGGCUCAUGAAGAGCUGGAAGAACGAGCUUCCUGCCAAGAAGGAGGGGAGAAAGCCAGUCUCCAAGCAGCACCUGAGGGGAAGGGAGGAGGAGGAGGUGAAGACAGGCACACAAGGAGGAUGCCAUGUGAAGAUGAAGGCAGAGAUGGAAGUGACACUUCUAUAAGCCGAAGACUGGCAGAAAACCACAGGAGCAGAGGCAAUGCCUGUGACGGACAUCUCUCACGGCACUCACCAGGAACCCACCCGAUGGACACCCUGCUACCGGACGUCUGCCCUCCAGGACUGUGAGACAAUGCAUUUCUGUUGUUUAAGCCACCUAGUUUGUGGUACUUUUUAAAAAAUUAAACUAUAAUUGAUGU